AACGAACGCUGGCGGCAGGCCUAACACAUGCAAGUCGAGCGCACCGCCAGGGGAGCUGCGGACGGGUGAGUAACGCGUGGGAAUAUGCCCUUUGCUACGGAAUAGUCUUGGGAAACUGGGGGUAAUACCGUAUACGCCCUUUGAGGGAAAGAUUUAUCGGCGUAGGCUUGGCCCGCGUUGGAUUAGGUGGUUGGUGGGGUAAUGUCCUACCAUGCCGACGAUCUAUAGCUGGUUUGAGAGGAUGAUCAGCCACACUGGGACUGAGACACAGCCCAGACUCCGACGGAAGGGAGGAGUGCGGAACCGAAGACAAUGGGGGCAGCCCUGAUCUAGCCAGGCCGGGUGAGAUAUGAAGGCCGGAGGGAAGUAAAGCUCUAUCAGCUGGGAAGAUAAUGACGGUACCAGCAGAAGAAGCCCCGGCUAACUACGUG
rnacentral:rRNA from 1 species